UCGAGAUCGCGGACGGCGAGUUCGUGGUCUUCGUGGGGCCGUCGGGCUGCGGCAAGUCCACGCUGCUGCGUUUGAUCGCGGGUCUCGAA
rnacentral:tRNA from 1 species